AUAUCUUUGUGGUGCCAUUUAUGGCUUAUGCUGUAUGGGUUUUGAUGAUUGUUGAAGGCCAUAUGGUGACCUAACGUUUUUAACCUUUACGCCAUUUGGACUCUGGUGGAGACUUGUCUCAUUGGCAAUCAUAACAAGUCUUUUAUUUUAAAAAUCAUGUACAUAAACUUCGAUAAGAACACUAAUUACACUUAUUACAUAUUAUACACUUUUUAUUACAAUGUAUUUUGUCCAAAAAAUAUAACUGAUUACUAUUGUAACUUU
rnacentral:lncRNA from 1 species